rnacentral:lncRNA from 10 species
GGGUUUUACCGUGUUAGCCAGGAUGGUCUCGACCUCCUGACCUCGUGAUCUGCCCGCCUCGGCCUCCCAAAGUGCUGGGAUUACAGGCUUGAGCCACCGCGCCCGGCCGGGAAGCAUGUUUUCUGAAACAUAACCUAAGAAAGUAUAAAUGCUGCCUUGUGCCUACAAUCCUGGUGACAAGAGCAAGACUUCGUCUCAAAAAAAAAAAAAAGUAUAAAAGCUCCUUAAAGGAUGUUUCAAAAUAAUGAAUAAUAUUAAUUUCUAUAUUGUAUAUUCACAAAUGUUCUUUCUAGAAUAAUUAUUUGCUUAAUGGGGUGCAUGUUUAGUUGGUGAGAAAUGAAUUAAUAGGUUAGUGAUUUAUUAUCUGUUGGGAAAAAUUUUAGACAUUCACAUGAAAGUAGAGAGAAUAACAUAAAUGAAUUUCCAUAUAUGGAUCACUUAGAUUUAGCAACCGUUAUGAUUUUGCCUUACUUGCCUUUUCCCCCAAAAUACUGUAAAGUAAAUUACAGUUAUCAUGACAUUUUCUUCUAAAUAAGUCAAUAUAAACAUAUAAUAAACAAGGACCUUUUUCUAUAUAGUCACAAUGCCAUCACUAUACAUAGUAGGAUUAACAGUAAUUCCGUAAUUUUUUUUUUGUUUUUGAGAUGAAGUCUUGCUCUUGUCACCCAGGCUGGAGUGCAAUGGUGUGAUCUCGGCUCACUGCAACCUCGACCUCCCGGGUUCAAGUGAUUCUCCUGCCUCAGCCUCCCGAGUAGCUGGGAUUACAGGGGCCUGCCACCAUGCCCGGCUAAUUUUUGUAUUUUUGGUAGAGAUGGGGUUUCACCAUGUUAGCCAGGCUGGUCUGGAACUCCUAAUCUCAGGUGAUCCGUCUGCCUCGGCCUCCCAAAGUGCUGGGAUUACAGGCGUGAGCCACCGCGCCCGGCCAUUCCUUAAUGUUUAACACCCAGUGCAUAUUCAGAUUUUCCCAGUUGUCCGCAGGAUGUCUUUUAUAGCUGCUUUCUUCAAACCAGGAUCUAUUCGGAGACCACACAUUGCAUUUGAUUUUUAUGUCUUUUGAGCCUUUUAAAAUUUAGAGCAGUUCCCUAUAACCCCUUCUUUUGUUUGUUUUAUGAAAUUGGCUUGUUGAACUUCACAAAACACGAGUUGGGGUCAUGCCAACUGUACCGUUAGUGAUUAGUUUACAUAUAGGGAAAAUAAUUUGUGAAUGUUGGUCCAUUCACUCUGCCAGCUAUACCAUGGCAGCAUUUCCAGUAUCAGGAAAGCAAACCAGGGGAUCUAAAACUGAGCAUUAAAAACUCUCCCCUAUCCAGUGAAAGAGAUAAGAAUGCCAGUUGUGAGAAAAUUGAAGGGGAAACGGAGAAUGUCAGUGUUAAAGAUAUUUGAACUUUUUUUUUUUAUCCAUUUGAAAGGUAUUUUUUUUGGGUGAACUAUUUGUUAAUAUUCUUGGUCCUGUAAAAAAAAAAUUGGUGUUUGGACUUUUUCUUAUUGUAGACACUCUUCAUAAAUUAAGGAAAUUCGCCUUUUUUUGUUAUAAUAUUGCAGACUUUUUUUUUUUUUGAGAUGGAGUCUUGCUCUGUCGCCAGGCUGGAGUGCAGUGGCACGAUCUUGGCUCACUGCAACCUCCGCCUCCCAGGUUCAAGCGAUUCUCCUGCCUCAGCCUCCCGCGUAGCUGGGACUACAGGCGUGUGGCACCAUGCCCAGCUAAUUUUUGUAUUUUUAGUAGAGAUGGGGUUUUACCAUGUUGGCCAGGAUGGUCUCGAUCUCUUGACCUUUUGAUCCGCCCGCCUUGGCCUCCGAAAGUGGUGGGAUUACAGGCAUGAGCCACUGCACCCGGCCUGCAGAUAUUUUUUUCAGUUAGCUACUUUUCUUUUCACUUUAUAGUAUUUUUUUACUUAAUUGUGGCACAAUACACAUUAGUGUUUUAGCCAUUUUAAAGUAUACAAUUUAGUGGCAUUUCAUACAUUCACAGUGUUGUGCAUCCAUCACUGCUGUCUAGUUCCAACAGAUUUUAAUCACUUCUAAAAGAAACCCUGUACUCAUUCCCUUUGCCCUCUAUCCCAUGGCUACUAAUUUGCUUUCUGUUUAUGGAUUUGCCUGUUCUGAAUAUUGUAUACAAGUGGGAUCAUAUAUAGUAGACCCUUGAGGAAUGGGGGGGUUAGGGUCACCAACCCCUCAUACAGUCAAAUCUGCAUAAAAUUUUUAAUUCCACCAAAACUUAACUAAUAGCCUACUGUUGACUGGAAGCCUUACCAAUAACAUAGUCAAUUAACACAUACUUUCUAUGGUAAUUUAUUAUCUACUAUAUUCUUGCAAUUAGCUAGAGAAGAAAAUGUUAUUAAAAAUCAGAAGGAAGAGAGAGUAUAUUUACGAUUCAUUAAAUGUAAGUGGAUCAUCAUGAAGGUCUUCAUCCUUUUUGUCUUCAUGUUGAGUAGGCUGAGGAAGAGGAGGGGUUGGUCUUGCUGUCUAGGGAGUGGUAGAGGUGGAAAAGAUGGAGGAGGCAGGAGAGGCAGACAUACCUGGUGUAACUUUUACUGAAAAAAAAUACAUAAAAGUGGACCCACGCAGUUCAAAACCAUGUUCAGGGGUCAACUGUAAUAUGUGAUCUCUUGUGUCUGACUUCUUUCAUUUAGCAUAACAUCUUCAACAUUCAUCCAUACUGUAGCAUAUAAUUUGUACUUAAUUCCUUUUUAUGAUUGAAUAAUCUAUAUAUGAAUGUACCACCUUUUGUUCAUCAGUUGAUGAAUGUAUUUACAUGCAUUUAAAUAAAAUUUUUUUUUUUGGGUUUUUUUUUUGAGACGGAUUCUCACCCAGGCUGGAGUGCAGUGGCACGAUCUCGGCUCACUGCGACCUCCGCCUCCCAGGUUCAAGCGAUUCUUCUGCCUCAGCCUCCCGAGUAGCUGGGAUUACAGGCACACGCCACCAUGCCCGGCUAAUUUUUUUUGUAUUUUUAGUAGAGACGGGGUUUUACCAUGUUGGUCAGGCUGGUCUGGAACUCCUGACCUCGUGAUCCGCCCUCCUCGGCCUCGCAAAGUGCUGGGAUUAUAGUCGUUAGCCACCGCACACAGCCAAGAAAAUGUAUUUAAAGAAAAUAUGGGGCUGGGCAUGGUGGCUCACACCUAUACUUCCAGCAGUGUAGGAGGCCGAGGCCGGCAGAACGGUUAAGCCCAGGAGUUCGAGACUAACCUGGGCAGCAUGAUGAAACCCCAUCUCUCCAAAAAAUACAAAAAUUAGCUGGGUAUAAUGGCCUGCACCUGUAGUCCCAGCUACUUGGGAGGCUGAAGUGGGAGGAUCGCUUGAGCCUGGGAGGUAGAGGUUGCAGUGAACUGAAAUCACGCCACUGCACUCCAGCCUGGGCAACUGGGUGAGGGUCUGUCUCAAAAAAAGAAAAAAGUAAGACAAUAUGGUAUAAAUUGGGGAUGGUGAAGGGACAUAAAGAAAAGUUAGUUUCUAAACUGGACUUGAAUUAAUGUUGACAGCCGUAGAAUGUAAUAAGUAAUGUAUAUAUAUAAUGUGAAGCAACCACUAAAAAUGCCAUGCAUAUAUGCAAAAACUCUAGAGAGGAAUCAGAAUUUUAUAAAAUGUUCAGCUAACUCACAGAAAGGCAGAUAAAAACAGACAAAUAGAAAACUAAGAACAAAGGAAAAAUAAAUCGCAGACUUAAACCCUAACAUAUGAACAAUUACAUUAGAUUUAAAUCGUUUAAAUGUACCAUUUAAAAGAUAAGAGAUUUUCAGAGUGGCAAUGACGUAACUGUAUGUGUUAAUAUGAGACUUCAAAUAUGACUAUAUAGGCUGGGCAUGGUAGCUCACACCUGUAAUCCUGGCACUUUGGGA